UUACUUUCACAGCAGAUAUACUAAACUGAGGAGGAUGCAGAGAAGAUUAACCUGGCCCCUGCACAAAGAGGGCAUGCAAAUAUGAUCCGUAUUUUUAGUUCUU